UGUAUUACAGGUUCGACCAGGAUAUAGGAGAGUUUGUGUCUGAUGAUCUGUACUGAACUGUCACGAAGAACCUUACUGAAGGAAGACGGCUGAAGACAGGUACGACCAGGACUUAGGGGAGUUCGUGUCCAAUGAUCUGUGCUGAAGUGUCACAAAGAAUCUACCGAAGGAAAAUUGCCGAAGACAGGAAAUGGCGAACAAGCUGGCGACACUCCUGGUCCUUCUGAUCAUCAUUUUGCGGGAAGCUGGACAGACCCUACUCUGCGGCAGCAGCUGUCCAUCAGCCUGCAAUUGCGUCGGUAGGGGCUACUCCCGUGUUCCUCUGAACCUGCCUAGAACCAUCACCAGCCUUAAGCUGUACCGCAAUUCUAUCACAAACUUAAGAAGA